AGCGCACACAUUUCGCAACAGCAACCAAUUUCUUGCACUCGCAUUUUCUACCGUUACUGCAUUGCGUCUUGUAUACAACGUCGUAAUUACCUAAUCGUCGGAUAAUAUACAGAGGGUCUCUCAUCUUUAUUGGACGGGUCCACACAAAAGAGCAGUUCAUUUACUGGCUUCAAAUUGCUGUCGGCAUUCUCUUUCGGCGGAGUUCGAAGCGUACAGGAUACUGUUCUUUAAUGUUUCGAGGCUCUCUUGUUGUAGAAUCAGCUUCGCGGUACAGCAAAAAGUGUCAAAUCGAAUUACAAGAAGAUUAGAGAGAAUAUAUCACUAACGCGUGCGCUGUUCGAUCAUUGAUUUUCCUAUUUGCGAUAAUCGCAACGUUGGUGCUACUUACAGUUUUUGGCCAGUGGAGGAGUUGAGAAUGACGAGCUAGGUAAUUAUCAAUUGCAAUUUCAUUUUUCUUGAAAGGUCUUUUCUCUUGGUGAAUAUAUCGUGUUGUUGCUUAAGUCAGCUUGUUUGUGUGAGCUACCAAAAUGUCCAGACAUUUAUAAAGACCGCCAAAACAAAUCUAUUCUAAUUUUGAACAAUGGUCCUGAGCCAGUGAACAAGGAAUCAAUUCAACAAGCAAACAAUAAGCGCAAAAACCGCGGUAUUUUCUUGCUUGAGACAAAAGGAACUGUUAAAAGUAAACCAGGAAUCAAUUUAACAAGCAAACAAUAAGCGCAAACACCGCGGUAUUUUCUUCCUUGAGACAAAAAAAGUGUGAAAAUUGAUAGUGUUCGGCGGGUGUUUAUUUUUUUAUGGUUCAGGACAGUUUGACAAAAUUUAUGAAUUUAGAAAAAAACAUGGAGCCUUUCGAUCUCCCUCAUAGUAUUCAGGGUGCCAGUACCACUAGACCAUAUGGGAACUUCAUGGAGUUGAACAUUAAUCUUGGCAAAAUUUAUCUCUGCGCUUUAGAGGAAUCAAUAAAAAUACAACUUUCCCACACCGGGAAUCGAACCCGGGCCACGGCGGUGAGAGCGCCGGAUCCUAACCACUAGACCAUAUGGGAAUUUCAUAUAGCUGAAAAUCUAUUUUGCCCAAAUUUAUCUCUGCACUGUUAGUUUCAGGGAGUUAUUUUUACUCCACUCAGAGAGUAAAAACUACUCUUUGCGGUGGAGUACUUUUAAAGGAGUAAUUUGAACUCCUUUAUUGGAGUAAAAACUACUCCACUGAGGAGUAAUUUUUUUGUUUACUCCCUUAACGGAGUAAGUUUUACUCUGCUGAGAAUUAGUACCGAAUGUUUAUUAAAAAAAGAGUAAUUUUCACUCUUGUUGGUCAAAUAAUGGAGUAAAAAGUACUCUUUUCUGGGAGUGAUUUUAGCAGAGUGAAAACUACCCCAACUAUCUGAAGUGAAAAGAGUUAUUUUUACUCCAGAUGGUCAAGAAAUGGAGUAAAAAAGUACUCCUUUUAGGGGGUAGGUUUUGAAGAGUAAAAACUACUCCAGCCAUCUCGUGUUGAAAGAGUAGUUUUUACUCCAGCUGUAUCUUUUUAGAGCAGUAACAAACCACUCCAAAUAUAUAAAAUAAAGGGAGUUGUUUUUUUACUCUGAAUUAGCUGAAUGUAAGAAGGAAAACGAUAGUCUUUAUUAUAUAAGACAAAAGAUAAAAAUAAUAAUUUUUCGUAUCUAUUGGUAUUGAGACAAAAAACUCUACCCUGUGCCUAGGAGUUUCCUAAGAUUUCCUAAGUUCGAUCAAAACAACAAAAUAUGAUUAAACUUCCUAAAAAUUCCUAGGAUUUCCUAGUAUAAGCAGUAGACCCGAAAAUGGAAAUAAUUUGGAUAAGAAAAUCUUAGGAAGAAGAUUUGAAGUUCUACAAUUUAGGAACUCUUAGGAAAUUCUUAGGAAAUCCUAAAAGAACAUUUUCAAUACAAGAACAGGCCUCACCAUACUUGCAUAUAUUGUCAGCUAUACUACAACAAUAAGAAAUGUAAUCAAAGACAGGCUUGGACUCGAACAUAAGUUUUAUGUGGUGUACUUUCAAAAUUCGCUCAGAAUAAUUAGUACUGCAUUUAAAAGAAAGAUAGGUAGGGUGAUAAUUGUAUAAAAUUCUUAGAUCCGAUUUGAACAUUAUAAAAUAAUAUAUAUUGUUUCUAAUAGAAAUGCUACUUGAGAUUAUAAAAAAAAGAAGUCCCGCUUUGCAGAUAGAAGACGGCUCACCAGGGCUCGUAAAACCAAAAUGUACCGGGCGUCCCUCGAUUUAGUGGCCGAGAGGGGCUUGGGCCCAAAAUCAUAACGGUCGAACGGAAGCCAUUAUCAUAACCUCCAAACUGAUAGCCGUUUAUUCCCGUCUUCUCUACGCGUAAUCCACCUUUUUUGAGGAUUUGAUGGCAGAACAUGGAUUGAAGUUAAAGGACAUUAUGAUAGAGAUAGUAAAAUGUGCUCGAGUUGAAAGCCAGAAAAGAAAGAAGUUUGAGGUAUAAGGAAUGUAUCAAUGCGUAAAUCGCAAGAAACGAAUAAAAACUUUGUAAACUUAA